UCGAGCCACGCGCUUCCCCCUGGCAGUUGGUCCGUGAGAGAGGCGGGGAGAAACUCUGGCGAAGAGACCUGGACUGCGCGAGAGACGCUAUUAGUUCUGUGCACCCUGCUCUGCAAGUUGCCACCAUGGAGAUGAGCCAAUCUGGAGAGGCGAGGAAUAAGGGCGAAUUUUGUACCACGUGGAGGGCGCUGUCCUCAGAGGGCACCGCCUCCAUCUGCAUCAAAUCACCGCAAGGCGUCGCCACCCCACGCCAGCAGGGGGCGGCAUAAGGGUAGCCGGUUCGUGAAGACCCGGCCCACGCCGCCUGGAACCCCCCUCCCACCUUCUCGGAGCUCCGGACCCCAGCAAGCCUCCCGAGGAAGAUGCUGAAGGAAAGCGCUGGUGCGUUCACGGAGGAUCGCAGCUUCCCAGGUCCGCGCUGCCAGGGUCACCUUGUAGGGGAAGUGUGGCCACCGAAUGGAGAACUUGGCAACUUGUGAGGAGACGGAGCAUUGUAGGAGAGGAGCGCAAGGAGGGGGAUGGAGGUCAGACGUUGCACGAGAUGAGGCGAGUCACGUCUGAAUGCCUACGGGAUGGAGGAGAGCACCGGCCUCGCUGAAACUGGGGGCUUCCAUUCAAAAGAAUCGACGAGAUUAAAAAAAACAAGGAAAAAAAUCGAGCGUGUUGUGAGGAUUUAUAGACAGUGGAGAAGUAUCAAGAGGCGUGAUAAGGGAGGGUGGCUUGCUACAAGGGGUAGGAGUGGCCCUUCAUCGCGCCUUCUUCUCUCGUGAUUAGACUGCUCUUUCUCUCCAUCGCGACGCUCAAUGUUUACUUUCAGCCGGAACGCUCCGGAUCGCUUACACCGGGAAUAAUUUUGCACUCGCACUCACCAGCGUGGUGAAAUAUGAUCAAAUGUCCCCCAUUGUUAACGCGACGUACAGGAGGGACCUUCAACCGUUGUUGUGCUGAGAAUGACUGGAAUGGAUUUUAUUUUUGACGCAUGCUGCAGUAUCCUGCAUUUGGGGAGUGGCGGUGCAGUGAUUGGUGGUCUCAAGCUGCAUUUCCAAGAGGGUCCUGAGGGCAGGAGCUGAAUUGGUCGUCGUGUGUGGCAGGAAACUGGAAUGCCCGAACAAAGCCUACGUAUAUGGAGGGGCUAACACCCAAGGAACUAAUUUUAUUUUUGUUCAUCAGACAGCCCCAAAGACCCACACACACAAAACAGCCAGCAAAAAACAUGACUAUUAAAUGUGUCACCGAUAAAGAGAUAAUAAGUGUCUUGAAUCGAGCACGGUUAUAGGAAUAUUGGAAAUACAGGGGGUAAAGUUUACGUGUGUCUGUGCGUAUAUUGUG